CUGGCGGCGUGCUUAACACAUGCAAGUCGAACGCGAAAGGGACUUCGGUCCUGAGUAAAGUGGCGCACGGGUGAGUAACGCGUAGAUAACCUGUCUUCAUGUCUGGAAUAAUACGCCGAAAGGGGUACUAAUACCGGAUAUCUUGCUUUUCAUAAGUUAUGCAAGCAAAGGUGGCCUCUGCAUAUGCUACUGCAUGAAGAGGGGUCUGCGUACCAUUAGCUAGUAGGUGGGGUAAUGGCCUACCUAGGCGACGAUGGUUAGCGGGUCUGAGAGGAUGAUCCGCCACACUGGCACUGGAACACGGGCCAGACUCCUACGGGAGGCAGCAGUGAGGAAUAUUGCGCAAUGGGGGAAACCCUGACGCAGCGACGCCGCGUGAGUGAGGAAAGGCCUUCGGGUCGUAAAGCUCUGUCAAGAGGAAAGAAGUGUACAAUGGCUAAUACCUGUUGUAUUUGACGGUACCUCUAAAGGAAGCACCGGCUAACUCCGUGCCAGCAGCAGC
rnacentral:rRNA from 1 species